GGGCAGGUAGCUCAGGUGGUAGAGCACUCGGCUGAAAACCGGGGUGUCGCCGGUUCGACUCCGGCCCUGCCCACCA
rnacentral:tRNA from 1 species